rnacentral:rRNA from 1 species
AGUGAACGCUGGCGGUAGGCCUAACACAUGCAAGUCGAACGGCAGCACAGUAAGAGCUUGCUCUUACGGGUGGCGAGUGGCGGACGGGUGAGGAAUACAUCGGAAUCUACUUUUUCGUGGGGGAUAACGUAGGGAAACUUACGCUAAUACCGCAUACGACCUACGGGUGAAAGCAGGGGAUCUUCGGACCUUGCGCGAUUGAAUGAGCCGAUGUCGGAUUAGCUAGGUGGCGGGGUAAAGGCCCACCAAGGCGCCGAUCCGUAGCUGGUCUGAGAGGAUGAUCAGCCACACUGGAACUGGGACACGUUCCAGACUCCUACGGGAGGCAGCAGUGGGGAAUAUGGGACAAUGGGCGCGAGCCUGAUCCAGCCAUACCGCGUGGGUGACGGAGGCCUUCGGGUUGUAAAGCCCUUUUGUUGGGAGAGAAAAGCAGCAGGUUAAUACCCAGCUGUUCUGACGGUACCCAAAGAAUAAGCACCGGCUAACUUCGUG